CCCUUAGAUGUUCUGGGCCGCACGCGCGCUACACUGAUGCAUUCAACGAGUUUCUUCCUGGUCCGAGAGGAAUGGGUAACCUUUUGAAAGUGCAUCGUGAUAGGGAUAGACUAUUGCAAUUAUUGGUCUUCAACGAGGAAUUCCUAGUAGACGUAGUUCAUCAGACUGCAUCGAUUACGUCCCUGCCCUUUGUACACACCGCCCGUCACUCCUACCGAUUGAAUGCUCAGGUGAGCCAUUCGGACUUUCAUCAUGCUGGUUUCCAGUUUUGAUGAAGGAAAGUCUUGCGAACCUUAUCAUUUAGAGGAAGGAGAAGUCGUAACA
rnacentral:rRNA from 1 species